AGAGUUCGUUCCUGGCUCAGGACGAACGCUGGCGGCGUGCCUAAUACAUGCAAGUCGAACGCUUCUUUUUCCACCGGAGCUUGCUCCACCGGAAAAAGAGGAGUGGCGAACGGGUGAGUAACACGUGGGUAACCUGCCCAUCAGAAGGGGAUAACACUUGGAAACAGGUGCUAAUACCGUAUAACAAUCGAAACCGCAUGGUUUUGAUUUGAAAGGCGCUUUCGGGUGUCGCUGAUGGAUGGACCCGCGGUGCAUUAGCUAGUUGGUGAGGUAACGGCUCACCAAGGCGACGAUGCAUAGCCGACCUGAGAGGGUGAUCGGCCACAUUGGGACUGAGACACGGCCCAAACUCCAACGGGAGGCAGCAGUAGGGAAUCUUCGGCAAUGGACGAAAGUCUGACCGAGCAACGCCGCGUGAGUGAAGAAGGUUUUCGGAUCGUAAAACUCUGUUGUUAGAGAAGAACAAGGAUGAGAGUAACUGUUCAUCCCUUGACGGUAUCUAACCAGAAAGCCACGGCUAACUACGUGCCAGCAGCCGCGGUAAUACGUAGGUGGCAAGCGUUGUCCGGAUUUAUUGGGCGUAAAGCGAGCGCAGGCGGUUUCUUAAGUCUGAUGUGAAAGCCCCCGGCUCAACCGGGGAGGGUCAUUGGAAACUGGGAGACUUGAGUGCAGAAGAGGAGAGUGGAAUUCCAUGUGUAGCGGUGAAAUGCGUAGAUAUAUGGAGGAACACCAGUGGCGAAGGCGGCUCUCUGGUCUGUAACUGACGCUGAGGCUCGAAAGCGUGGGGAGCAAACAGGAUUAGAUACCCUGGUAGUCCACGCCGUAAACGAUGAGUGCUAAGUGUUGGAGGGUUUCCGCCCUUCAGUGCUGCAGCUAACGCAUUAAGCACUCCGCCUGGGGAGUACGACCGCAAGGUUGAAACUCAAAGGAAUUGACGGGGGCCCGCACAAGCGGUGGAGCAUGUGGUUUAAUUCGAAGCAACGCGAAGAACCUUACCAGGUCUUGACAUCCUUUGACCACUCUAGAGAUAGAGCUUCCCCUUCGGGGGCAAAGUGACAGGUGGUGCAUGGUUGUCGUCAGCUCGUGUCGUGAGAUGUUGGGUUAAGUCCCGCAACGAGCGCAACCCUUAUUGUUAGUUGCCAUCAUUUAGUUGGGCACUCUAGCAAGACUGCCGGUGACAAACCGGAGGAAGGUGGGGAUGACGUCAAAUCAUCAUGCCCCUUAUGACCUGGGCUACACACGUGCUACAAUGGGAAGUACAACGAGUCGCAAAGUCGCGAGGCUAAGCUAAUCUCUUAAAGCUUCUCUCAGUUCGGAUUGUAGGCUGCAACUCGCCUACAUGAAGCCGGAAUCGCUAGUAAUCGCGGAUCAGCACGCCGCGGUGAAUACGUUCCCGGGCCUUGCACACACCGCCCGUCAA
rnacentral:rRNA from 1 species